UAGGUUUUAGUUUAAAUAGAAUUCUUGACUGUUAAUCGAGAGGAAGUGUGUAUAGCUAAACUUAA